rnacentral:rRNA from 1 species
UACGUAGGGUGCGAGCGUUAAUCGGAAUUACUGGGCGUAAAGUGUGCGCAGGCGGCAGAGCAAGUCGAGUGUGAAAGCCCCGGGCUUAACUUGGGAAUUGCGCUCGAAACUACUUUGCUGGAGUGUGGCAGAGGAAGGUGGAAUUCCACGUGUAGCGGUGAAAUGCGUAGAGAUGUGGAGGAACACCAAUGGCGAAGCAGCCUUCUGGGCCAACACUGACGCUCGAUGCAC